CGCGAACGCGUGUCACCCAAAAAGAAAAAGUGAACAUGUGAUUCUCGCUAAUAGAUCUAGCUAUUCAUUAUUUAUAAGUCCAAGGCUUCAUUCGUACAACACAUUGGUGGUUAUGGAGUGCGAACUCAUCCCAAUUAAGCACGUACUUGCAAAACUCCCAUGGAGUUCUAGAACAUGCCACCAACGAUGGGUAUGAGAACCUGUGGUUAGCAAGAAGAUUUUUAAAGACACCUCUGCUGAGAAAUAUGUGGCAAGGAGUAUCUAUGGGUUUUGUUGAACUGGCCGUUCAUGUUGUUUGAGUGAACACAUAUCCACUUCUUUUGUGUGAUGCUCCCAAGCAAUGAAAUUCAAAUCACCUUGCUUCCAUGGUUUGAAUGAUAUGCAAGGCCGAAAUUUGUAGUACCCGUUGAAUUUUUUGUUAAACUUGCAACUUCUACAAAUUGGAACAACAUAAUUCAUUUCAUUUGAAUGUAACCCCAGCAACAUGAACCCUAGUUGCACAGCAGUUCAGUUUUACUUACUUAUUUACUAGUAUUGAUAUUGACAACAAAUUAACAAUAGAUAAAUACUGGCUUUAUUGGUUAUUGUCCCAGCGAAUAGAUGAAUGAGCAAGUUCAAAAAAGGGAGAUAGGUUGGCCUUUGAGUUAGAGCUCAUAGGGGAGAGUGUCAUAGCCCUAUCUUCUGUAUGUGUUAAUCCCAAUUUCACCAGGAUGAAAUUGGAAUAGAAGUACUUGAGAUAACUUAAAGACAACGAAAAUCCAUAUCUGGUUUUCUAAUGGUGUGAGAUCGCUCAAGACAAUUUUCAUUUCCUGCUGCUUCACAUCUUGGGCAGGGAGGGAGCAUGUCAGUUUUUAGUCUUAAACACCAUUUAUGGGAUGUGAAGUGGAAAAUGGAAAUUAUCUUGAGCAACUUAACAUUAUUAGAAAACUAAAUAAACACUUUUCAUUCUCUACAAGUUGUUUCAAGUGGGGAACCUGGUAUUAUCACUUAUAUUUGUAUUACAAAAGGUCUGAUUCUAUCUCCCCUCCCCGCAUUUUAGCUCUAACUUUACACCAAACACCGUUAUUGCCUCUCACUUUCUUGAACUAGCUCACUCGUACAUUUUCAGGGAGAAUAACCAGUAAAGCAGCAUCAUUCAUUUGUCAUCGUCAUAUCAAUAGCAAUAUUAGCAAACAAGUGAAACUAAUUGGCUAUGCUAGUAGGCUUCAAGCCAUUGCAUUUACAUUCAAAAUGUGAGAGAAUUUCUUAUUCCAAUAUUUAGAAGCAGGAAGUUAUAAAAUUCAACAACAUAGGAGUAUUGCAAAUUCCCACCCUGCAUAUCACUCAAACUAUGAAAGUAAGGUAGCAGAAUAUCAUUGCUUGGUAGCAUCAUAGAAAGAAAUGGAAAAGGAGCGUAUAUUGGAGAUGAAUGGAGGAACAAACAGGUUCAAUAUGAAUCAAAAUUGUCAUUGAGUGGCUGGGGAGUUUGUGUACAAGCAGAAAACAAAAAGUAAUUAUUGUAGAUAGUUGUUGGGAACACAGGGCUCAGAGAUUUUAGUCUCUACUGAGCAGGAGAGACCGCAGGGCAUCUGGCAUCUUUGUAGUAUUUAGCUUUUGUGCAGCUGUGAUUCUCUGUGCAACGCUUUUCAGAUUGGUGGCUCUGGUAAUGAGUUUAUAUCUUUUGCAACAUCCAAGGUUUAGAAGCAAGCUGCUAGUGCAGAUAGUUUACUCUGAUCUUGCUUUGCAUAAUUUUAGUUUGUUAUACAUUGUUACAGUUUGCAGUUUAUACAUUUUCUGUUUUAAUAUC